UCCAUUAAUGAUAGUGUUUGCCUAGCUCCAUAUUUCAAGUUGAAUAACAUAAAUUUCUUGCUAAAUAUUUUUCUAUUUGCUCUGUUUGUAGGGAUUUCUAGAAUAAUUUACUUUUAAAUAUUUCGGGCACUCUUGAUCCUCAUGCAAACGUCACCAUCAUAAUUUAACUAUCCAUGAAUGGGAAGUUAGGAAUAUUGUGCAAAAUGGAAGCAGCAUCGCUAUGAAUGUUGGAGGGUUAAACAUAGAGAGUGAUAAUGGGGUGGUUGGUAAAAGCGUAGCUACUGGUGGAAGUGGGAGUGGUGUGGAUCAAAACCGGUUUGCACAAAGAGAGGCUGCCCUGACCAAAUUUCGGCAGAAGAGAAAGGAAAGAUGUUUCAAAAAGAAGGCCCAUGGAGGAGCAAUGGCAACGCUAUGGGCCAUCUCUGUACAACCUUACCAAUAUGGUGCUUUCAAUUCGGUUGUUUCUUCUUCUUUUCUGGAGGCAUUUUGAGGCAAGAAAAUUGUUCCAUGAAUUGGCAAAGUUUGAUAAGAAAAAGUGAAGUUGCCG